ACUCCCCACUGCUCCACUCCGUUCGCAUCUUCUUCUCCAUUUUUUCCCUAAAAUCUGGACUUCUCCAGUUGCCACUGCAACACCUCCCUCUCUCUCUCUCUCUCUCUCUCACUUACCAUCCACACAGGCGCCUAAAGGCUCCAAACCCAAACACCCUAUCAUGCAAUCACACUCUCCAGUCUCCAGAAACUUUGUUUCCCGGCUAGAAACCCAGCUUCGUCGCGCCACAACCACGGUGACACCAUCUAAACUCAAAUCCAUAACACGCUCUUUGAUUUAGGUAAGGAUUCGUUUCUUGUCUUUUUCAAUUUGACGUCGACUGAUUAAUAUUGUUAUGUUUUGUUACUGAUUUUUGGUUCAUCGUGCAGAAUAAGCCAGUUCUCUUUUGUAAAUCAAAAUCCAACGAAAGUAAACAGGACGAAGCGUGGGGCGUUGGGAAGCUGAGGGAUACUAGGCUGGCGAAUUUGAUUGCUUUUGCUGUGAUGGCGACGAGAGAUUGCUUGUGGCUGAGUACCUGCCAAAUGAUACUCUUGCUAAACAUCUUUUCCACUGUACGUUUUCGUUUAAUUGAGCUAUUAAUUGAAGUAAUUUUUACUUAGGUUUUUUAGAAUUCAUUAUUACCAUUAUUAUAACAGCCUUACCUCUGCUUGUUAGAUAAGGAUUGAUAAAACAAGUAAUUUAUUUGUCUACUCACAUCCAAGCUUCCUUUUUCUCUCAUAUCCCAGUUAGGUAGUGACAAUGGGGGUUCAUCAGAUGAAAUCUCUCCUAUAUACUUUUUCUGGGCCACAUUUAUUGGCCUUUACAUUACCAACUAUGUAGUGGAAAGGUCAACAGGGUGAGUAAGAAUACCUUGCAUGAUACAGGUUUUGGUUUGAAUGAUAUUAUAAUCUCUUGAAAGUUUUUUGUUUUAUGGGUUAUGCCUUUUUUAGCGUAUCUGAUUCUAAUGUGUUUCUGGUGUGCUUCCUGUUUUAUUGAUUUCUGACCAUCAUCAAGUUUGCCUGUCUUUAUCUAGUUGUAUAAUUCUUUUAGUUUAGAGAGUUGUGUUCUUGGGGAUUCGAUCGGUCCAAUACAAUUGUUUCAUGACACUCGUUGGGGAAUCGAGAAAGGGUGGGUUAAUGAACAAGCAAGAGAGCUAUAUGAGAAAAUGAUUGAGAUGCAAGAGGAAACCCAGGCGGGGGAAAAUGAAAGAUCUGAAGCUUAAACAUGUGAGGAAGUGCUUGGUAAAGCUUCCAGCUUCAACCUGAAUAUUGCAUUCUCAAUGACUUAGCAGCAAGAUACGGGGUGGGCAUUUUGUUUGUUAGAGUUAUGCACAGAUAGAUAGGUACUGAUGAAAAUGUGGGGUGCAUGCUUUGUUUUUUGGUUAUGCACACAUGAUAGUGCAUUUUGGGUUUUUAUUGCUCAUCAUGCAUAAAAAUCCGUGU